rnacentral:rRNA from 1 species
GACGAACGCUGGCGGCGUGCCUAAUACAUGCAAGUUGAGCGAUGAAGCUUGGUGCUUGCCCCAAUUUGAAGAGCAGCGAACGGGUGAGUAACGCGUGGGGAAUCUGCCUUUGAGCGGGGGACAACAUUUGGAAACGAAUGCUAAUACCGCAUAACAACUUUAAACAUAAGUUUUAAGUUUGAAAGGUGCAAUUGCAUCACUCAAAGAUGAUCCCGCGUUGUAUUAGCUAGUUGGUGAGGUAAAGGCUCACCAAGGCGAUGAUACAUAGCCGACCUGAGAGGGUGAUCGGCCACAUUGGGACUGAGACACGGCCCAAACUCCUACGGGAGGCAGCAGUAGGGAAUCUUCGGCAAUGGACGAAAGUCUGACCGAGCAACGCCGCGUGAGUGAAGAAGGUUUUCGGAUCGUAAAACUCUGUUGGUAGAGAAGAACGUUGGUGAGAGUGGAAAGCUCAUCAAGUGACGGUAACUACCCAGAAAGGGACGGCUAACUACGUG